AUUGAACGCUGGCGGCAUGCUUUACACAUGCAAGUCGAGCGGCAGCGCGGGGGCAACCCUGGCGGCGAGCGGCGGACGGGUGAGUAAUGCAUCGGAACGUAUCCCGUAGUGGGGGACAACCCAGCGAAAGCUGGGCUAAUACCGCAUAUGCUCUACGGAGGAAAGUGGGGGACCCGCAAGGGCCUCACGCUAUGGGAGCGGCCGAUGUCCGAUUAGCUAGUUGGUGGGGUAAAGGCCCACCCAGGCGACGAUCGGUAGCUGGUCUGAGAGGAUGAUCAGCCACACUGGGACUGAGACACGGCCCAGACUCCUACGGGAGGCAGCAGUGGGGAAUUUUGGACAAUGGGGGCAACCCUGAUCCAGCCAUGCCGCGUGCGGGAAGAAGGCCUUCGGGUUGUAACGCUUUGUCGGAGAAGGACGUCGUCCUAAUACGGGGCGUUCUUGACGGUACCGGCAGAAUAAGCACCGGCUAAC
rnacentral:rRNA from 1 species